rnacentral:rRNA from 1 species
UACGUAGGGUGCAAGCGUUGUCCGGAUUUAUUGGGUUUAAAGGGUGCGUAGGCGGCCUGUUAAGUCAGUGUUUAAAUUUUGCAGCUUAACUGUAGGUAUGGCAUUGAUACUGAUGGGCUUGAAUAUUUUGGAGGUAGCUGGAAUUUAUGGUGUAGCGGUGAAAUGCAUAGAUACCAUAAGGAACACCGAUAGCGAAGGCAUGUUACCACGAGAUAAUUGACGCUGAGGCACGAAAGUGUGGGGAUCAAACAGG